GCCCACCCAAAGACCGGGUCGGGUCAACAUGUGCAACGGUUGAGGACUGAUUAGUUAUUGCUAUAACUGAAAAGAGGAUAAGAAAACAGAGAUUGGCAGAUUUGGAAGCCACUUCUGUUGGCUUCAAAUGGGUUUUCAUUGCCUUUGAUCAGCAGAAAGGACAGAAAAAACUAGGGUUUUCAUUGCCUUUGAUCAGUAGAAAGGACAGAAAAAACAAUGGGCUUCACAGCAUUCACACCAUCCACAGCAGCCAACAACGUCAACUCAUCUUUCCCUUCUUCAUUAUGGAUCCCUUCUUCCCAUUUAUCCAUCUCCAAGAAGCCCAUCUCGGAUUGCAGUGCUUUUUCUUCAAGGGACAACUCUUUUAUGAGGGGUCAGUUUCAGAGCAGGCACUUGCUUGGGUGCUGUUCCAGACGAGUGCAGAGUAGAAGAGCAGGAAUUUUGGUUUUGCCGAGCUGUGUCCUUCCAUUAACUGAAGAAAAUGUUGAGAAGGUCUUGGACGAGGUGCGACCUGGGUUAAUGGCUGAUGGAGGAAAUGUGGCUCUACAUGAGAUUGAUGGCCUUGUUGUGGUACUAAAGCUACAAGGAGCAUGUGGCUCUUGUCCAAGCUCAACAAUGACACUAAAGAUGGGAAUUGAAACUAGGCUUCGUGACAAGAUCCCAGAAAUUGAGGCAGUGGAACAAAUCCUCGACACAGAGACUGGCCUGGAGUUAAAUGAGGAAAAUGUUGAGAAGGUUCUUGCUGAGAUUAGACCAUACCUUGCUGGCACAGGUGGUGGGGUGCUCGAGCUUGUUCAGAUCAAUGAUUAUGUCAUCAAAGUUCGGCUCAGUGGACCUGCAGCUGGGGUUAUGACUGUUCGGGUGGCUCUAACACAAAAAUUGAGGGAAAAGAUACCUGCCAUUGCAGCUGUCCAGUUGAUAGAUGGAUAAAAUACUAUGAAAAAACAGUUGUAAGUGUAAAGCGAGAAUCUAGAAAUGUAGUCUACCAUCUCUUUUCAUGAGAACAGCCACUUGUUUGGAAAAAAAUAAAAAAGCAUUAUUUCAGGUACAUAUUUCAGAUGAAUCUGACUCAGUUCACAUUCAAUAUGUAAGAAAAAGAGCAAUGUAUUGAGGUAAUUCUUUCAAUCUUCAAGAGGGUCCAUGCUAUUUCGAUGUGGUCUAGAAGAAACACAAUGGAAUUCCUGUUUGAACUAUGUUUAUCAAUUUGGUUGUACUUGGAGCUCAUGAUAGCAGAGGCCAGGUACCAUGUAUGCAUACAGAAACACAUAGUUCCAGUAUUCUUCUCUUCUGGGUUGAUCAUUUUGUUUCUUCUUUUAUACACCACAAAAGAAUAUGAUUAGUAUGUGCUGCGAUACUUAUUUGUACUUCUCCAAUCUGAUGAAUGACAUUUCCACCUUGACCUUGUGAUCUA